UACGGAGGGUGCGAGCGUUGUCCGGAAUCACUGGGCGUAAAGGGCGCGUAGGUGGCCUGUGGAAGUCUGCGGUGAAAGCCCGGCGCUCAACGCCGGGUCGGCCGUGGAUACUCUCGGGCUUGAGCUUACUAGAGGCAGAUGGAAUUCCGGGUGUAGCGGUGGAAUGCGUAGAGAUCCGGAGGAACACCAAAGGCGAAGGCAGUGUCCUGGGGAGUACCUGACGCUCAGGUGCGAAAGCCAGGGGAGCGAACGGG
rnacentral:rRNA from 1 species